AGCGAACGCUGGCGGCAGGCCUAACACAUGCAAGUCGAACGAACUCUUCGGAGUUAGUGGCGGACGGGUGAGUAACACGUGGAACGUGCCUUUAGGUUCGGAAUAACUCAGGGAAACUUGUGCUAAUACCGAAUGUGCCCUUCGGGGGAAAGAUUUAUCGCCUUUAGAGCGGCCCGCGUCUGAUUAGCUAGUUGGUGAGGUAAAGGCUCACCAAGGCGACGAUCAGUAGCUGGUCUGAGAGGAUGAUCAGCCACAUUGGGACUGAGACACGGCCCAAACUCCUACGGGAGGCAGCAGUGGGGAAUCUUGCGCAAUGGGCGAAAGCCUGACGCAGCCAUGCCGCGUGAAUGAUGAAGGUCUUAGGAUUGUAAAAUUCUUUCACCGGGGACGAUAAUGACGGUACCCGGAGAAGAAGCCCCGGCUAACUUCGUG
rnacentral:rRNA from 1 species